AACACAGAUUCUUUUUGUAAUGGCCUUUACUAGUCUGUAGCUUUGUGAGCCCUGGGAGCUAACACCAAGGACCACAGUCUCAUCCACAGAGACAAGGGCUUCAAGGACAGAGCAAGGGGCUGCCCUCAAGUGGCUUGGUGGGCACUGGGCAUUGCCAAUGGGACCAUGUGGAAAACAUCAAGGGUCUGUUGGUCUUUUUAAAGCAGUGAAUAUUUUCUUCUGUUUUGAAGAACUUUUCUGCGAAUGGGAGAAGAGGCAUGCCACACAGGAGAUGGGUUUUUGUUGGUUCGCUGGGAUUGGGCAAUGUUUCCCAAACUCGCAUUCCGUGGAGCAAGGCUCUGCAGUCAUAAGAAAUACUGAGGAACAACAGGACAAGAAAGUAUUCCAUGAUCAGGUCAUGCAGUGAAAUGCUGGCUUCUAAAAAAGCAGGAAGAGUUGCUUAUUCCGUAUCUUCACGAAUCUUUUAUAUACCACUGUGUUUUAUGAAUGUCUAAUGAAGAGAAUUUAGCAUGGUUCUCAAAUGCAUUUAACUCGAGGAAACUUUUCUCCUAAAAACAUUUUAACAUCUCUUGAACUAACGUUCUGCAGGGAGGGGAAGGGAAAGUAGGAAGGAAGAGGAGAGAAGAGAAAAGAGAAGAAGCAGGAUGUGGAUUUACAAACACACACUGGCCAAGGUGACGCCACCAGAGCCCUCCUCUCCUGGUCUUGUGUUUCCUGUCCCCUCCUGCCACCCACACACACUGCCCACUUCUGCACAGUGGACAGAAGCACUUCACAGGUCCCCUGUACAGUUUCUCAACAGCUACAAGUUCCCAUCAAUGUUUCUGCUUGUUCAUCAUAGAUUAUUCCAGAAUUUAAUGGGAUAAUUCAAAGUUUUCUCAUUUUUUUAAUGUUUAUUUUUGAGAGAGAGACAGAGUGUGAGUGGGGGAGGGACGGAGAGAGAGGGAGACACAGGAUCCAAAGCAGGCUGCAGGCUCUGAGUUGUCAGCACAGGGUCUGACGUGGGGCUUGAACCCACAAACCGUGAGAUCAUGACUUGAGCCAAGUUGGUUGUUCAACCGACUGAGCCCCCCAGGCACCCCAAAGAUUUCUCAUUUUUUACUAGCAGUCUCAGUAUAUUCUGUUUUCCAAAAAAUUUUUUAAAAAUUUCUUUAAUACGUAUUGAACUUCACUAACUGCUUUUGGGCAUUUAUCAAAGUAACAAUUUUUUCAUGUGUCUGUUAGUCAUCUGGAUGUCUUCUUUGGAAAAGUGUCUAUUCAUGUCUUCUGCACAUUUCUUAACCGGAUUAUUUGUGGUUUUUUGGGUGUUGCCUUUGAAAAGUUCUUAAUAAAUUUUGGAUACUAACCCCUUUAUCUGGUAUGUCCUUUGCAAAUAACAUGAAAAGAUGCCCAACAUCACUCAUCAUCAGGGAAAUUCAAAUCAAAACCAUGAUGAGAUACCACCUCACAGCUGUCAGAAUGGCUAACAUUAACAACACAAGAAACAAUAGAUGUUGGUGAGGAUACAGAGAAAGGGGAAUACUUUUGCACUGUUGGUGGAAAUGCAAACUGGUGCAGCCACUCUGGAGAAAAGUAUGGAGGUUCUUCAAACCCUAUGAUCCAGCAUUGUGGUACUAGGUAUUUACACAAAGGAUAAAAAAAUACAGAGUCAAAGGAGUACGUGCACCCCAAUGUUUAUAGCAGCAUUAUCAACAACAGCCAAACUAUGGAAGGAGCCCAAGUGUCCAUCAGCUGAUGAAUGGAUAAAGAAGAAGUGGUAUAUAAAUACAAUGGAAUAUUACUCAGCCAUCAAAAAAAGUAACUCUCGCUAUCUGAAUGACAUGGAUAGAGCUAAAAUAUAUUAUGCUAAGCAAAAUAAGUCAGUCAGAGAAAGACAAAUGCCAUAUGAUUUCACUCAUAUGCAGAAUUUAGGAAACAAAACAGAUGAACUUAUGGGAAGGGGGGGAAAAAAGAUGGAGGGAAACAAACCAUAAAAGACUCUUAACUACAGAGAACAAA